rnacentral:rRNA from 1 species
AGAGUUUGAUCCUGGCUCAGAGUGAACGCUGGCGGCAGGCCUAACACAUGCAAGUCGAGCGGCAGCGCGGUGGUAGCAAUACCACUGGCGGCGAGCGGCGGACGGGUGAGGAAUGCGUCGGAAUCUGCCUCUUUGUGGGGGAUAACGUAGGGAAACUUACGCUAAUACCGCAUACGACCUACGGGUGAAAGUGGGGGACCUUCGGGCCUCACGCAGAGAGAUGAGCCGACGCCGGAUUAGCUAGUUGGCGGGGUAAAGGCCCACCAAGGCGACGAUCGGUAGCUGAUCUGAGAGGAUGAUCAGCCACACUGGAACUGAGACACGGUCCAGACUCCUACGGGAGGCAGCAGUGGGGAAUAUUGGACAAUGGGCGCAAGCCUGAUCCAGCCAUGCCGCGUGGGUGAAGAAGGCCUUCGGGUUGUAAAGCCCUUUUGUCCGGAAAGAAAAGCACGGGAUUAAUACCCUCGUGUGAUGACGUACCGGAAGAAU